AACUGAUACUACCUGCGGGAACCUGCGGAAGGAUCAUUAACGAGUUAGGGUCUCCUUGGCCCGACCUCCCAACCCUUUGUUUAUUGAACCUCUGUUGCUUCGGCGGAACCGUCUCACGACCGCCGGAGGACCGCUGAAAGGCGUCCUCUGGCCAGCGUCCGCCGAUAGCCAACCCACUUAAAAUUCUGAAUGAAUCGUGUCUUUUGUCUAAGUCUAUGAUUAAAUAAAAAGCAAAACUUU
rnacentral:misc_RNA from 1 species